UACAGAGGUCUCGAGCGUUGUUCGGAUUCAUUGGGCGUAAAGGGUGCGUAGGUGGCUUGGUAAGUCGGAUGUGAAAUCCCGGGGCUCAACCCCGGAACUGCAUUCGAUACUGCCGGGCUGGAGUACUGGAGAGGAGAUCGGAAUUUACGGUGUAGCAGUGAAAUGCGUAGAUAUCGUAAGGAAGACCAGUGGCGAAGGCGAGUCUCUGGACAGUUACUGACACUGAGGCACGAAGGCCAGGGGAGCAAACGGG
rnacentral:rRNA from 1 species